GUGACUCAGCAUACAUGCUUCUACGCAAGCGCGCUCACGUGCUUACAAUGCUGUGUUUGUUUCCCAUCCCUAGGCUGAAUUCCAGGAUCUGAGAACACUCCUGUUUGCAGGCAAUGUUCUCCCCGGAAGGGCCAUAAGAGGACUGGGCAGAACAUCCUGUUUGCAAGCAAGCUCAGCCGCAAGUCAGCUCCAUGAAAUGUCCUGUAUGCAAGCACAUUCAUGUUCUUAGGCCAGACCUCCUUCAGGUGGAAAUGGUGAUCUUCCUACAGGUCUGUGGAAAUUUGUUGCAGCAGCCAAAGGAAAACUAAUUCACCCACCUUGUAUCACCCACCAGAAAUUCGGCUUUGUGUGAGCAAGAAUUGAUCUUGGGAUCACUGCUAUAUUUCUGGUAUCAAGAGCAGUGCCUGGUACACAGAAUGCUUUCAUCAACGAGAAGAUAACCUUUUAGCCAGUUAUCAGGCAUAAUACCCUCAAGAUCCAUCCUUGUUGUCACAAAUGGCCGGAUUUCAUCAUUUCUUAUGAAAGCUAUUUUGAAGAAAACACUGACAGAUUGCCAAGAGACCAAACUAGAGGGUAACCAGCUAGUAAAGUUUAUGGAACAGUGUGUGCGUCCGUUUGUUUUGGAAACUGAAAUAUGAGAGCGCAUUUAUGCACAGUCACUGCAGCUGCCAAACGCUCCUCUUGAGUUAGAAGUUCCCUGUUGUCAUGGCAGUUACAGCACCCUGGUACCAAGAACCUUCUAAGAAUCCACAUUUCAGAGGAACUUGCAUGCCCAGCUAUCUGCCAGUUCAAGCCCACACGCUGUUCAAAGAAGGAAUUUGAUAGUAAAACGUCUUUAAACAAAUAAGAUAAUUGAGUUACAAUAAGUUUAAGAGAAUUACCUUAUGUUUUGCAUGGUACUCUGUCACAUGGAUUUUAAAACGCUGGCAUCUCUUCAACCAUUAAUACUCAUUUAUGAAAUUUCCCAUGAGUAUGUGAACGCAAUUAGUAAUAGCAUUAAUGUGAGCUGGUACUCCUAAGAUCUCCUCCUGUUUGCUUUUACAUCAUUGGCAUCAAUACCAAUAUAUUUUUUCAUGAUUUUCUUGGUGGUGUAUUAGCAAUUAAAUUGUAUAUUUCACAUGUGCAGAAAUGUUUUCUAUUGUGAUAUAUAUAUAUCAUACUGUCAUGGAGAAUAUAAACUAUCUAAACUCUUAUCCAGAUAACCUGGACGUCUUUCACAGUCUCAGCAUCCAAACCAGCUCAUCAAGUAUGCUAGAUACAUGGGGCAGCCCGGUGGCAUAGCGGUGAAGUUCGCACAUUCCGCUUCUCGGUGGUCCCAGGUUCGCCAGUUCGGAUCCCGGGUGCGGACGUGACACAGCUUGGCAAAAGCUAUGCUGUGGUAGGCGUC